ACGGUCUGGGGAAAGGCUCCUGGUUGCUGAACCCGCCCAGCUGUGGGUGCGGCCCCGUACCCGGCAGCCCUACCCUGACCCAGAGUAAAUUCCCAGGAGAGCGUUUCCUGGGUUUUGAAUUUGCAGUAACAGGUGUGAACAUUCUAGCAGCAGUUUGAUGAUCAUGUAUGAUACUGCAAACAAGA